AGAAGACCCAGUGGAAGCAACUGAGCCUUUCCGUAGCAUUACCAAAGAAAGCAUGCAGCUGAAAGUGAUCCUGGUGGGUUUGGCCCUCUUUGGCCUUAUUGUGGCAGAGAGCGGUGCUAUGCCGGCCAGCAGCUCCACUGAUGCCGAGGCCAGGGCUGAUCCCGAGAUUGCUGAGCGUGCCGAGCAGGGCAGCGCCGAGGAGGCGCGCAUCAGCGAGGCAUGCAUGGCUUCACUGUGCGGGUGAUAACCUGAGGCAAGGGAGUGACGCCUUCUAAAGAUCGUCUCCCGCAAAAAUAGCACGAAUAUUUCGAAAGUAGUAUAGGCACUGCCCAGCACUCCACACCAUGCCCCAGUGCCGAAUAUUGGCGCUUGCGGAUGGCUAUUGCGCAUGGCUGUUGCGCAUGCUCUUAUAUUGAAUAAAGUUCCAUUUAAAUAUCUAAACU